rnacentral:rRNA from 1 species
AACGAACGCUGGCGGCAGGCUUAACACAUGCAAGUCGAGCGCCCCGCAAGGGGAGCGGCAGACGGGUGAGUAACGCGUGGGAAUCUACCCAUCCCUACGGGAUAACACAGAGAAAUUUGUGCUAAUACCGUAUACGUCCUUCGGGAGAAAGAUUUAUCGGGGAUGGAUGAGCCCGCGUCGGAUUAGCUAGUUGGUGGGGUAAUGGCCUACCAAGGCGACGAUCCGUAGCUGGUCUGAGAGGAUGACCAGCCACAUUGGGACUGAGACACGGCCCAAACUCCUACGGGAGGCAGCAGUGGGGAAUAUUGGACGAUGGGCGGAAGCCUGAUCCAGCCAUGCCGCGUGAGUGAUGACGGCCUUAGGGUUGUAAAGCUCUUUCACCCACGACGAUAAUGACGGUAGUGGGAGAAGAAGCCCCGGCUAACUUCGUGCCAGCAGCCGCGGUAAUAC